UCUUCUAUACCUCACUUGAAUUUUCAGUGGGUUUUUUAAAUUUAUUUAAAUUUGUGAACUUUGUCUCCCUUCACUCUAGUGUAUUUUUUAAAAAUAUAGUAUGAUAAUUUAAACGAGUUACUUGUGUUUAGCCUAUGAAUUUGUUCAGCGUUAGAAAUUUUUAGAAACUUUUAAAAAAAUAUGAUUCAUGAUUUUUUUUUUGUUUGCAGACAAAGCUCAAGGUCUAUAUCCUUAGAAAAGAAGGAUUGGCAAUUUUACUGUGGAAUUUCAGUGAGUAUCUUUUCUAUUUAUUUCUCAUUCUAAUAUCAACUUUACAAUUAAAAUUUUAUAAUAUAUCAUGUUUAAAUCAAAAUAGCAGUGAGUACACAUUAAAAUUAUAUUUUUUUCCUUUUCACACAGGUACAUUGAAAAAUUGAAUGAAGAGUAAAGUUAUUAGAUAAGUUGGCUACAUUAGCAUAUAAGGAGUAACAUUUUUAUUUUCUUAUUGACGACUAACAUUAUGUACUUCCGUUAGGAUCAUAUAAGAAUCUUUAAUGAGAUUAUUUCAAUAUUAUUUUAAUUCUAAAAUAUAUAUGAUCAUGAGAGACACUUUUUGUUAUUAUGUUAAAUGUUUUAUUUUAUUGUGUUGAGUUUAUAUUAUUAUAUGAUAUCUGCUAAGUUUAAAAAAUAAA
rnacentral:lncRNA from 1 species